UAUAAGCAGUUUCUUUCUCUUGUUUUGUGAGGACUCUACUGAUGAUUCAUCUCCACAACGCUUUGUCUACUAGGCCAUGGAAAUCUUUUCAACAUGGAAGCUCAUUUCUUCCCUGGACUACUCGUAUAUGCAGCCUCUGCCUCUGAAUGAUUAGCCUGCGUUUUGAUAUGAUAACCAGAUUCUGCUGGAGCCAGCUCUUACCAGCACAAGAGCUGGUUAUUAUAUCUUCAUGUCAAAUUAAUUUUAAAAAUGAAAGCAUGGGCAGUCAAGAUGGCAGCUUAGAAGCAACAAAAGUUCAUUCUUCUGUGAAAACCCUUCCACACAAAGCACUUCAACUGGGACAGAAAAUCAAAUCCAACAAGACAGAACUGUGGGACCCUCCUUCUCAAUUCAACUUAAAAGGCCUUGGACCUAGUGGAAACCUCGAAGAGUUCCUGAAAUGAGAAGAUGCUGAGUCAGUUCGGGGUGUCCAGUUUCCUAAACCCUCCCCACCUCUAGGAGGAGAGGACUUCCAGUAAGUUCGUGCUGAAGCAAAAAGGGCCACUCUUAGCUUGCUCUAGAUUUUCAGAAGUCCCACCAAGUAUUCCUAGGGAGAUGAUAAAGAUUGCGGUGAUGACGAGGGUGAGAAUGGAUUCCUUUGAUGCUUCCUGUAGUUGUUACUAUGCACUUUCAUGCAUCACUUCACUUGAGGGAAGAACAAAUAUGUAGCUGUCCUGAGCCUGGUAACUGCUAGGCCUUUUCUGCCUUGUUUUUAGCUAUUUUCCACUCCAGGGAGGAGCCCAACGAGCCAGGGAGAAGAAGGAAUCUGCGCCCUCCUCUGCUAUCAGGGCAGCUCCAGGAAAAGGACAAGGAGAGAAAGAGAAGUGAAGUGUGCACACUACGGUGACUGGCGACUGCUCUGGGGACACGGUUUGAAAAGCACUGAAGUGAGGAGCCAUCCAUGAUGUCCAUCCAUGAUUUCUCGGCCCUGCUCACUUUCCUGGGCAAUGAGGAUCUGAUGGGCAUUUAGGGCGCGUGGAAUCUCUUACACUCUCCCCCCGACAGUUCUACCUGGUGGCUAUUCCUGCUGAGGAGAAGCCCUGGAAGCACCUGCACUGCCUUUCGAAGUUCAGAGGGGAUCUCUCCGGGAGGAACACAUGACGACCACCCGGCGCCCCGGCCUCUGGCUGCUGUGAAAACUUCCCGAGAGUUGAGUCGCCACGUGCGCUGUGGCUAAGCGGGGUGGCCCUGCUCUCCGUCAGGGUUACAAUGAGAGAGGAAGGCGAUGCAACAAUUACAAAAAGCAGCGGCGGGCCUGCAAAGGGAGGCAGCAGCAGCCCCCGCCCCCUGCGUCCGGCGAUUGGCUGCUUUCUGCUCAUCAUUUCCCUGCUAGGAAAAGGGAAGGGCCAGUGACGUUCUGGAGCCCGGCUGCAGCUUCUGCCACCUCAGACGCACAAGGUGUUC
ensembl:lncRNA